rnacentral:misc_RNA from 1 species
UACCUCUCCUGUCUUUGUUUGGUCGACAAGACGAGAGCAAGUCCCAGGCAUUGGCUUGUCUGUAUGCGCGCCAGCGACUCUUUCGCCUGUCGGUCUGAUCGCUGUGCAACGGGUGCUCCCCUGCGUUGCUGACGGCACGCGGCUGAUUCAACCCGCUCGCUUUUGCGUGUAGCCCCCUCUUCGCUAUUUUUUUUCCUGUCUAUCUCGCAGCCUGCGUGACGCCUGCAGUGAGCAUGCUUCGGAAGAGUGGACGGCGGCUCGCCCUGGAGGGUGAGCGUCAGUUCUUCUACCCCGGCAACUCACCCAUGCAGUCGACCGGCGGGCUACCUUUCUACGGCAACCUGUACGCUGGCCGCGUGGACUCCCAGAACUACGUGCCACCUCGCCAAGGCGGCUCUGGACUGCUGGAGGUGGACAAGUCCCUCUGGGACAACCCGGCGACGCGGCAGAAGCUGCAGUCCUGCCCCUACUUUGCGCUUAGUGAUCAGGUCAUGUUCCACAACAUGGACCCCGUCUACCUCGACCCCGGCCUCCUGUCCCCUGAGGAGCACCAGCUGCUGCUGCUAUUUAGUCGAGCCUACUACGAGAAGUGGGCUGCCAUCCAUCGCCGCCCCCCGCACGCACUGCCGAGGCUGCGCAUCACCUACGGCUCGUCGAAGCUGCUGGACGAGAUUCUUUUCUUGCUGGACGUGCAUCCGGAUGUGUGCGAGGUACUGAAGAAGGAGUACGCCGUCGACGACUCUACGCUCAUUGGCAUGAAUCCAAAUCUGUGGAGCUCCGCGUACCUUGACCCUGCAAACAUGGAUCACCUCUCCGGUCGAGUGCUCGAGUUCGCUGGUGUGCCAGAGCCGAAGCGGAAGAAGUUCUUUCUCCUGCUGGACCAGAUGCGCCGCAUCAAAGUCCAUCGGCGUGACCUCCCCAACGGCGAGGAGAGGACCGAUGUGGUGCCGUUUUGCUACGGGGUUACACUCUACGACUUCUGCAAGUUUCUCGGCAUCACGCCGUACUCGGGUCAGCUAAAGGUGUACGACUACGUCGACCUUCAGGGAACUGCGCGCUCCGAGACGCUCAAGGACGAGGACUCCUACUUUGACUACCUUGUUGCUCUGUUCUACCGCGCCGAUGUUCGCUCCGCCACCUUGACGGACCUGGCUGACGCGAGCGACCACACCUGCCGCUACACCGUCACCGUGGAGCCCUUUACGACGGCCGACCGCAGGGUGGGGCGCUGGUUCUGAGCGCGUGGAGAGGGAUGUGGUCGGUGUGGCAAGCGGGAGGAGGGGCGGCCACGGAUGAACUGGUGCUUCUGUACUACCUGCCUCUGCCGCAUGGCUUUGUAUCGUUAGGUAGAGGCCUCGCGUCGGCUUCUUGUUAUUUGCCGCAGCACUGUCGCUCGUGCUGCUGCCUUGCGGUCGCCGCCGGCCUCUCCUUACAGGCGCGCCUGUGCAUCUGGGCUAUGCCCUCUUGUUUUGUUGCACGUCUGUGGUUACCGUUGCCUGAAUAUGACGCUGACGCACAACUUCUUGUUUUGUUCCUCCCCCUCUCCCGGUAUGUUUUGCUUUUGCUUCUGCUGCGUGGCGCCCGCACGUGUGGAAAGACGCUGCUGCUUCUCUCACGUCGUCUACCGUCUCCGUGGUGGAGCAGGGUGGCGCACAAGGGGGAAAAACGCAGCACACACACACACACACAAGCUACGCAAACAGAGCAACGAGGAGAGCCUUUUGGUAAUGGCUAGGGUGGCAGCAAAGGGUGAGGUGCUCUGUGCCGCGACUGAUGAAGACAACUGCCUGCGCUCUCUUUCUGGCACCGCUUCCUGCCCCCUCGCCUCGUCGCUGACACAGAUGUCGAAGUC